rnacentral:lncRNA from 1 species
ACGAGAAACAUUACGAAAAGGUAGCACCAUGAGGGGAUUUAUUUUACUUGCUGUUUUUGUUGCAUUGGCCAGUUUGAUUACAGUGGAAUCAGCUAAAUGUGGCCGGAGACAGUACGACAUAAGAUUCUACACCUGUUGUAGAAGAAGACUACAUUUAGGAAGCGGACAGUCAUGUUGCGGGUCGAGGGCUUAUAAUUACAGAAUAUACACAUGUUGUGCGGGCAGACUCAGUCUCGGAAGUGGACAAUCCUGUUGUGGAAGAAGAGCUUACAACCGCAGAAUAUAUUCUUGUUGUAAUGGAGUCGUUCGUCUUGGAAACUGUUAAAUGAGCUGUGUCCUUUUUGUAGAUCUAUUACAUAUCAAAAUAUCA